CGUGUAGGCGGUUCAGCAAGUCGGAUGUGAAAGCCCUCGGCUUAACCGAGGAAGGGCGUUCGAAACUACUGAACUUGAGUGCCGGAGAGGGUGGCGGAAUUCCCGGUGUAGAGGUGAAAUUCGUAGAUAUCGGGAGGAACACCAGCGGCGAAGGCGGCCACCUGGACGGUAACUGACGCUGAGACGCGAAAGCGUGGGGAGCAAACA
rnacentral:rRNA from 1 species